UCAAUCGUUUCUUAAUUUUUUUUUCCAUUGCUUGUCUUAUUUUGCUUUGCAGAUUGCCUAAAAUUGUAAAAUGCUUCGUAUUGUUUACAUAUAGCAUCAAUGACAGUGUUGAACUUAAGCUGAUGCUUUAUAACUCAUUUCCUGGCCUCUGAGUUGGCAGUAGAAGUGGAAACCAUUGUCCAAGGCCUUUGGAGUGUGUCAGUGCUGACCCUGCAGCUACAGAAAUGACCAAAUCAAACCUGUUGUACUGAGGGUAAAGCUCAAAUGGACCCUGUGACUACUCCUCCUCCUUCCCCAAUAAACCUUUGUUCCUGACCAGAAAAA